UGACCUGGCGGCAGGCCUAACACAUGCAAGUCGAGCGGAGCGACAUCAACAAUCCUUCGGGUGCGUUGAUGGGCGGCGAGCGGCGGACGGGUGAGUAAUGCCUGGGAACAUCGCCUUAGUGUGGGGGAUAACCAUUGGAAACGAUGGCUAAUACCGCAUAAUCUCUACGGAGCAAAGCGGGGGACCUUCGGGCCUCGCGCGCUAAGAUUGGCCCAGGUGGGAUUAGCUAGUAGGUGGGGUAACGGCUCACCUAGGCGACGAUCCCUAGCUGGUCUGAGAGGAUGAUCAGCCACACUGGAACUGAGACACGGUCCAGACUCCUACGGGAGGCAGCAGUGGGGAAUAUUGCACAAUGGGGGAAACCCUGAUGCAGCCAUGCCGCGUGUGUGAAGAAGGCCUUCGGGUUGUAAAGCACUUUCAGCAGUGAGGAAGAGUUGGUGUUUAAUAGAUGCCAUCUUUGACGUUAGCUGCAGAAGAAGCACCGGCUACUCCGUGCCAGCAGCCCGCGGUAAUACCGA
rnacentral:rRNA from 1 species